GACGAACGCUGGCGGCGUGCUUAACACAUGCAAGUCGAACGGAAAGGCCCUGCUUUUGUGGGGUGCUCGAGUGGCGAACGGGUGAGUAACACGUGAGUAACCUGCCCUUGACUUUGGGAUAACUUCAGGAAACUGGGGCUAAUACCGGAUAGGAGCUCCUGCUGCAUGGUGGGGGUUGGAAAGUUUCGGCGGUUGGGGAUGGACUCGCGGCUUAUCAGCUUGUUGGUGGGGUAGUGGCUUACCAAGGCUUUGACGGGUAGCCGGCCUGAGAGGGUGACCGGCCACAUUGGGACUGGGAUACGGCCCAGAAUCCUACGGGAGGCAGCAGUGGGGAAUAUUGCACAAUGGGCGGAAGCCUGAUGCAGCAACGCCGCGUGCGGGAUGACGGCCUUCGGGUUGUAAACCGCUUUCGCCUGUGACGAAGCGUGAGUGACGGUAAUGGGUAAAGAAGCACCGGCUAACUACGUG
rnacentral:rRNA from 1 species